rnacentral:rRNA from 1 species
UACGAAGGGGGCUAGCGUUGCUCGGAAUCACUGGGCGUAAAGCGCACGUAGGCGGAUUGUUAAGUCAGGGGUGAAAUCCUGGAGCUCAACUCCAGAACUGCCUUUGAUACUGGGAAUCUCGAGUCCGGGAGAGGUGAGUGGAACUGCGAGUGUAGAGGUGAAAUUCGUAGAUAUUCGCAAGAACACCAGUGGCGAAGGCGGCUCACUGGCCCGGUACUGACGCUGAGACGCGAAAGCGUGGGGAGCAAACAGGG